CAGUCUCCUGCCUGGCCGGCCCUCCCUUUCCGUUCAGGCUGAUGUCGUUUCCACUGGUAGAAAGUUCUCCGAACCCUUGUUGACCUCCGCGCAGUUCACGGUCCAGUCCCUCCAUGGGGCUCUGACCGUCCUGGCUUUCCUGCUGGCGGCUGCUGCUGGUUGCUGCCACCCUGACGUACGUCACCUCUGGGGCCCCUCGACUCCCCAGAGCACGUGGGAAGAUGCCAGGCGCCGGGUGCUGGUUCCUGGUGCUUGUACCAAUUUCUUCCUGGUUUCCCCCCCGUGGCCUGCAAACUGUAAGGAGCAGCCAGGCCACACCUUCCCGGCUUGGAAAUCGCAGCCAAACGUCAGGUGCCGCUUGCCACCCUCCACGACCCGUCCCUGCCACUGCACAACAAGCUUGCCUGUCCUCCAGCUCCAGCGACAGGGUCCUCCUUUCAGCAGACCUCUUGAGGACGGCCUCUGCCGUCUCUCUACCAAGGCUCUCCGCGGGGCAAUCCAGGCUUUUGGGAGCGCGCAGCUCCCAGCUCUCCCAGCUCCCCCUGCCCCUCAACACCACGGCUGCUUGCACUUUUUUUUUUCUUGAAGUUUGUAACAGCAGCACCCUCAGCCUCCUCCUGGGGCUGCUGUCACAAAGGACCAAGAAGCAGGUGGCUUAGAACGACAGGAACGUAGUGGCGGAGGCCAGGGUCUGGGCUGGAGCUGUCAGCCUGGCUGUGUGCCUUCUGCGGGCCGCAGGCGAGCCCUCUUGCCUCGUGCAGCCGCAGAGGCGCCUCUGUCUUCCCCCGUGUGUGUGCAGCCACCGCCCUCUGGGCCACCAGUGGUGGUAGGUGAGGGCCCACGUUACUCCAGGACCACCAGCCUCGUCUUCACUUGUGACAUCUGCAGAGGCACUGUUCCCACGUCAGGUCACAAUCUGAGGCCAUGCGGACACUCAGCUGGAAGCACACCCUGGGCCUGGUAACCAUGGAUGUGGAGCUGGCUGACCGCACCCUGUCUGUGGCCGUGACCCCUGUGCAGGCAGUGGUCUUGCUGUACUUCCAGGACCA
rnacentral:lncRNA from 1 species